UACCCGCAGCACAAGUGGUGGUCAUUAUUAUUGGGCCUAAAGCGUCCGUAGCUGGCUUGUUAGAUGCCUGGGUAAAUCGAUGCGCUCAACGCAUCGAACUCCGGGUAGACCGGCAAGCUUGGGACCGGGAGAGGCGUGAGCUACUCGAGGGGUAGGGGUAAAAUCCUGUAAUCCUUCGGGGAGGACCAGUGGCGAAGGCGUCACGCUAGAACGGCUCCGACAGUGAGGGACGAAGGCCCUGGG
rnacentral:rRNA from 1 species